rnacentral:rRNA from 1 species
AACGAACGCUGGCGGCAGGCUUAACACAUGCAAGUCGAACGCUCGUGGCAACACGGGAGUGGCGGACGGGUGAGUAACGCGUGGGAACGUGCCCUGAGGUUGGGAAUAACUGCGGGAAACUGCAGCUAAUACCUGAUGAGCCCCGAGAGGGGGAAAGAUUUAUCGCCUUGGGAGCGGCCCGCGUCGGAUUAGCUAGUUGGUGGGGUAACGGCCUACCAAGGCUUCGAUCCGUAGCUGGUCUGAGAGGACGAUCAGCCACACUGGGACUGAGACACGGCCCAGACUCCUACGGGAGGCAGCAGUGGGGAAUCUUGCGCAAUGGGGGCAACCCUGACGCAGCCAUGCCGCGUGAAUGAUGAAGGCCUUAGGGUUGUAAAGUUCUUUUGCCCGUGACGAUGAUGACGGUAACGGGAGAAUAAGCUCCGGCUAACUUCGUGCCAGCAGCCGCGGUAAU